AUUGAACGCUAGCGGCAGGCCUAAUACAUGCAAGUCGGACGGGAUUGAGGAGCUUGCUCCUCAUGAGAGUGGCGCACGGGUGCGUAACACGUAUGUAACCUACCUUAAUCAGGGGGAUAGCCUCUCGAAAGAGAGAUUAACACCGCAUAAAAUCACACUAUGGCAUCAUAGAAUGAUCAAAUAUUUAUAGGAUUAGGAUGGGCAUGCGGAACAUUAGCUAGUUGGUAGGGUAACGGCUUACCAAGGCUACGAUGUUUAGGGGAUCUGAGAGGAUGGCCCCCCACACUGGUACUGAGACACGGACCAGACUCCUACGGGAGGCAGCAGUAAGGAAUAUUGGUCAAUGGACGGAAGUCUGAACCAGCCAUGCCGCGUGCAGGAAGACGGCCCUACGGGUUGUAAACUGCUUUUGUACCGGAAUAAACCUCUUUACGUGUAAGGAGCUGAAUGUACGGUAAGAAUAAGGAUCGGCUAACUCCGUGCCAGCCGCCGCGGUAAGAC
rnacentral:rRNA from 1 species